GCCGAAAGGACCAAGGGAAAACCUUUCGUUUUUCCUUCGUUGGAGGUGGUUCAUGCAUGCACAGCACUAAUCAAAGACUCUCGAAGAAGCUGAGAUUGCAUCAAUGGCAACCACCAUCUCAGAAGAAUCCAAAUGCUCCAACUUAGUCACAUGCCGAAAGAUUGCCCAAGAUGGUUGUAACAAUGACCUCACCCAUCUCGUGAUCAGUGGAGGAGUAGAUCUCAUAGGAACCAAGCCCAAGUCUUUGCUUUGACUCGACAAGAUGCUCUAGCUUUUGGAUCAAUGAUUCAAGGUGUCCUUCCCCUUUGUAAAUUGAUAGCUGAUGUGCUUAUUGAAAGUAGUUCUACGUAUUCAUCCAUUGCACUACAUUUUGCAUGCAAGAUGAAUAUAGAACUUGUUCCACUAGAAAACAUCAUGUCUCUAGCCACACUUGUUAAGAAAUCCAAGCUGAUGGAUUAAAUAUUCAA